rnacentral:tRNA from 1 species
GGGGAAAUAGUUAAAGCAUAACAUUUAAUUUGCAAUUAAAAAAUACUAUAUAAAUAAUAGUUUUUCUCA